GCAGGAGACAGACAUGAUCAUAGGAAACUUCCUCAGAUCUUCCAAGACUAGGUUUGCUUUGUCCCUGAAUAUGCUUCCAGAGUACCCUCUGCUGACCCUGAGUACUGGUCUAUAGCACCAAAUGGAAGACUGUCUGUCGAUACACAUUUUGUGACAGGCUCAGUUUUGUAUAACUAUUGUCAAUCUCCAUAACCCUAGCACAUAGGAAGUCUCUGGCACAUAUCAGAUGCUCAAUAUCGGUUGAGUGAAUGUAUUAAUCAUCUCCUUUAAAACCAGAGUCAGUGGAUUGAAGGGCUUUUCAGUGUAAGGAUACAGAAAAAGAAAAGCUGGGAGCAGAGAUGGAAUGGAGCAAAAGCCAGAGACACACGGCGUAGGAUGAGGAGGCCAUGAGGCAGGAGGACAUCAUAUAACGAACAUCCUAGUGUUCAGAAGAAGACUGGAUUGACUUCAGUAGGCAGCAAUUCAGUCCAACAAAUAAGGAUCUAUUACUGAGCAUCAACUAUGGUGAAACUGUGCUUGGUGGAAGUUCAAGAAUGAAUAUAUCAAAAGUCACGUCCUGCAGGAAGUCACAACCAACAACGGAGAUAAACUGUUAAACUGAAAAUGAUCCUUGUAUGAAUUAAAGAUGCUGGUACACUUG
rnacentral:lncRNA from 1 species